rnacentral:lncRNA from 1 species
ACAGUCAUUCAUAAGUCAGCGUAAUAUGCUCACUUUGUUUAAAAACCCUUCUCCCAUGCCAAAAGAAGAAGUGAUGACAUUGUUGGCAUCAUAUAUACAAUGAUAUUUUCAUUCAAUUAAUGCAUGUUAAACAUUUGUUUUUCCAAUUGUUUUCACUUUUUGCUUUUUGCUUUUUGCAUGAAAUUGGUGAUCACAAAAAAC